rnacentral:rRNA from 1 species
UACGUAGGGUGCGAGCGUUGUCCGGAAUUAUUGGGCGUAAAGAGCUCGUAGGCGGUGUGUCGCGUCGGCCGUGAAAAACCCGCGGCUCAACUGCGGGCCUGCAGUCGAUACGGGCAGGCUAGAGUUCGGUAGGGGGAGACUGGAAUUCCUGGUGUAGCGGUGAAAAUGCGCAGAUAUCAGGAGGAACACCGGUGGCGAAAGGCGGGGUCUCUGGGGCCGAUACUGAC